GCCGAUUGCCUUGAGUUGAUAUGGCUCGAAUCAACGCUGGCGGCGUGCCUAACACAUGCAAGUCGAACGCGAAAGUCCCGAAAGGGAUGAGUAGAGUGGCAAACGGGUGAGUAACACGUGGGUGACCUGCCUUCGAGCGGGGGAUAACGUCCCGAAAGGGACGCUAAUACCGCAUAACAUCCUGCCUUUGAAGAGGCGGUGAUCAAAGCUGGGGAUCGCAAGACCUAGCACUUGAAGAGGGGCCCGCGUCCGAUUAGCUAGUUGGUGGGGUAAUGGCCCACCAAGGCAACGAUCGGUAGCCGGCCUGAGAGGGCGGACGGCCACACUGGGACUGAGACACGGCCCAGACUCCUACGGGAGGCAGCAGUGGGGAAUUGUUCGCAAUGGGCGCAAGCCUGACGACGCAACGCCGCGUGGAGGAUGAAGAUCUUCGGGUCGUAAACUCCUUUCGAUCGAGACGAAUUCCUCUGGGGUGAAUAAUCCCGGAGGUUGACGGUACCGAGAGAAGAAGCCCCGGCUAACUCCGUGCCAGCAGCCGCGGUAAUACGGGGGGGGCAAGCGUUGUUCGGAAUUACUGGGCGUAAAGGGCUCGUAGGUGGCCAACUAAGUCAGACGUGAAAUCCCUCGGCUUAACCGGGGAACUGCGUCUGAUACUGGUUGGCUUGAGUUUGGGAGAGGGAUGCGGAAUUCCAGGUGUAGCGGUGAAAUGCGUAGAUAUCUGGAGGAACACCGGUGGCGAANGCGGCAUCCUGGACCAUACUGA
rnacentral:rRNA from 1 species